AUGCAGGGGAACAUGGCGAGGCUGGUGUCGUCUUCCCUCCUCAGGGGGCUCGCGCGGUCGUGCCGCGCGCCCAGCACGGCGACCGUGUCACGACCAGCUUUCCAACAGUUCAUGAACUACUCAUCAGGAAUCAGUGGUGAUUCUAACGUGAAUGGCGGCACAAGUGCAACACGAGUAACCGCUGAUACUGAUACACAUCAAGAUUUCCAGCCUACAAGCAAAGGUUCUGACAUGUCUUUGCAAGACAUCGUUGCUCAGGAUAUCAAGGAGAAUCCAGUCGUUAUCUUCAUGAAGGGUUAUCCUGAAGCUCCCAGGUGUGGAUUUAGUGCACUGGCAGUUAAGGUCCUCCAGCAAUAUGGCGUCUCUAUCACUGCCAGAGAUAUUCUGAGUAAUAUGAAGCUCAAGGAGAGUGUCAAAGCUUACUCUAACUGGCCUACCUUUCCGCAAAUAUUUAUCAACGGGGAGUUCGUUGGGGGCUCUGACAUCAUAUUAAGCAUGCACCAGAAAGGGGAACUUAAGGAUUUACUUGGUGAUUCCGCACAAAAGGGCGAGCAAGACAGUGCCCAGUGA
rnacentral:rRNA from 1 species